CCAGAUAAGGGAAUAAAAGCAGGCCACCGAGCCAGCACAGCAAUCCCUUGGGUCCCCUUCCACACUGUGGAAGCUUUGUUCUUUCACUGUUCGCAAUAAUCUUGCUGCUGCUCACUCUUUGGGUCUGCACUGCAUUUAAGAGCUAUAACACUCACCGUGAAGGUCUGCAGCUUCACUCCUGAGGCCAGUGAGACCAUGAACCCACCAGAAGGAAUGAACAACUCCAGACAUGCUAACUUUAUGGGCUGUAACACUCACCGCGAAGGUCUGCACCUUCACUCCUGAGGCCAGUGAGACCACAAACCCACCAGAAGGAACCAACAACUCCAGACGUGCUGCCUUUAAGAGCUGUAACACUCACCGUGAAGGUCUCCAGCUUCACUCCUGAAGUCAGCGAGAUCACGAACCCACCAGAAGGAAGAAACACCAGACACAUCUGAACAUCUGAAGGAAGAAACUCCGGACAUACCAUCUUUAAGAACUGUAACACUCACCGCGAGGGUCCACGGCCUCAUUCUUGAAGUCAGUGAGACUAAGAACCCACCAAUUCUGGACACAUUUUGGCAACCAUGAAGGGACUAUUGCCUAUCACCAAGAGGUGAGACUAUCGCCAAGUGGUGAGACUAUUGCCUAUCACCAAGUGAAAAAAGAAUCCUGACCUAGACAGCUGAUGGAUGAAUGAAUAUUAUUAGUAGUAGUCUCUGCCCUAUGUCAAUUUAGAAAGAUUGAAAGUGCUUUUGGCCAAAUCUCUCUCCCAUCAGUUUGUUAUGAUACUAGGUGAAUUCUGAGAUUUUAGUUCAAGUAUAAAUGUCUCCUAUAAGAAGUAAGUAUUAAAAAAUGAUUUCUGAGGGAGGAGCCAAGAUGGCCGAAUAGGAACAGCUCCGGUCUACAGCUCCCAGCGUGAGCGACGCAGAAGACGGGUGAUUUCUGCAUUUCCAUCUGAGGUACCGGGUUCAUCUCACUAGGGAGUGCCAGACAGUGGGCGCAGGUUAGUGGGUGCGCGCACCAUGCGCGAGCCGAAGCCGGGCGAGGCAUUGCCUCACUCGGGAAGCGCAAGGGGUCAGGGAGUUCCCUUUCCGAGUCAAAGAAUGGGGUGACAAACGCACCUGGAAAAUCGGGUCACUCCCACCCGAAUACUGCGCUUUUCCGAAGGGCUUAAAAAACGGCGCACCACGAGAUUAAAUCCCGCACCUGGCUCGGAGGGUCCUACGCCCACGGAGUCUCACUGAUUGCUAGCACAGCAGUCUGAGAUCAAACUGCAAGGCGGCAGCGAGGCUGGGGGAGGGGCGGCCGCCAUUGCCCAGGCUUGCUUAGGUAAACAAAGCAGGGAAGCUCGAACUGGGUGGAGACCACCACAGCUCAAGGAGGCCUGCCUGCCUCUGUAGGCUCCACCUCUGGGGGCAGGGCACAGACAAACAAAAAGACAGCAGUAACCUCUGCAGACUUAAAUGUCCCUGUCUGACAGCUUUGAAGAGAGCAGUGAUUCUCCCAGCACGCAGCUGGAGAUCUGAGAAUGGGCAGACUGCCUCCUCAAGUGGGUCCCUGACCCCUGAGCAGCCUAACUGGGAGGCACCCCCAAGCAG
rnacentral:lncRNA from 10 species